GUGAGGGCCUCCUGUUUUUCAGUCAUCGGCGAAAGGAAGAAAGAUGGCGGCUCUGCGCGGACCGACACCGGGGUACCGUUUUGAGCUUUCCCAGCCAAACCGAGACCGGGGACUAACUGGACUACGGCUUCCUAAUCCUCGCUUGUUGCCGUUACUCGGAUUUCCGAAGGGCUUGCGUCGACGGCCAAAAAAUAAGAGAUCGAAAAUAAUAGAUUUUGCCUAUCAUGAGAGGGAGAAGGGGCAGGCCGCCCAAACCCCUGACGUUACCCCCAGAAGAAUCGUCCGCGGCACCGGUGCGUGGUUUAAGACCAAGGAGGAAUCUGAAACCGAGACUGAGAGACAGCGGCGAUGAGGACAUCGAGAGCCCCAAAAGGGACCCCGCCAGGGCGACCAGGGGGAAAAGAAAGGGCCGACCGGGCGCGUCAACCCGGGGCAGGGGAAGAGGCAGAGGUGGCGGCAGAGGAGGUCGUGGAGGGAGGCGGACGGCUCUCUCCAAAACGGUGGUCUACGACGACCACGAGAGCGAGGACGACGACGACGCUGGAAGACGCUGCGGACAACCCGACCUCACAGUCCUAUCCUGGAGGUGGAGAUCCCUCCCCUUGAGUGUCCAGAAACCUCUGAAGAUCUCCUGAUACCAAGUGAAGAGCGUGUCAACGUUGCCUCCAUCUAUGUUUUGCGCAACUUCAGCACAGUGCUACGGCUCUUCCCAUCUGUUUUGAGGACUUUUGUGCAGCACUGGCUGAUCAGGAACAGUAUACUUUAAUAGGAGAGACCCACAUUACCCUGCUAAAGGCCAUAAUGCGUGAAGAAGACUCUUCCAACACCACCUUCGGCCUUGCCGACCUCAACGACAACGUCAACUCCACCCUAUACUUCAUUGACGGCAUGACAUGGCCUGAGGUUUUGCGAUCUUACUGUGAGAGUGACCAGGAGUACCACCGUGUCCUGCCAUACCAGGAGUUGGAUGAUUACCCCUAUGGCCCUCUGGAGAGCAAAAUCAAGGGGACCUGCUCUGCUGCGAAACCUCCUCAGCAGUGUACCACCUGGAGUGUGUGAAAAUGCCACUGUAGGAGGUUCCAGAGGAUGAGUGGCAGUGUGAGGUCUGUGUGGCACACAAGGUACCUGGUGUUCCAGACUGUGUGACUGAGAUGCAGGAAAACAGGCCCUAUAUCUGCCAGGAGCCCAUCGAAUAUGACCGCCACCAGAGAAAAUACUGGUUCUUCAACAGAAGGAUAAUUGAUGAGGAGGACAGGGAGCAUGAGAGGGGAAUAGGUCUGGUACUGCAGCACUAAGGCACAACUUGGGGAGCUCAUGGAGUGCCUGAAGAGGAGGUGCAGGCUCACAUGGACAUCACAGAGGACCUCACUAACAAGAGGAGUACAAUGAGACGGUCAAGAGUGGCAGAACAGCAGCGAUAGGACAGGAGUCCAAUAACCUGAUACCUAUGGGCAGCAAGGAGCCGUCUCCUGCAAUGUCUGACAGCGAAGCCUCCCGAUCCAGUACUGUCAAAAAGGACCAUGUGAAGACCAACAGGAACAGCUUGUUCAAGCUGGGCCAGGAGGGCAAAUACAGAGUCUACCACAACCAGUACAGCACAAACGUCCUUGGCCUCAAUAACCACCAGCAUCGGGAGGACAGUGACAAGAGGCAGCACCUCUCCCACAAGUUCAGCUUGACCACUGCUUCCAGGUUGAAGUGGAAUGGCUCCAUCCAUGGGGUCCAGAGUCUUCACCAUCUCCACCUUGCAUCUUACCAUCAUCCAGCUGGAGACCAACAUCCCUGCACCUUUUAUGCAUCCAAACUGGGCUUCACACCGGUAUGAGAGUGGACCCUCUGCCUGUGCAUGAAUUUAUGCGAUACACCAAAACAGGUCUAACUGGAACAAAGCAGUACAGAUGUGCAGUAAAGCCAGGGAAUUUGCCUUGGCCACCCUCGAGUGUGCCAUCAAACCAGUGGUCAUGUUGCCUGUAUGGAAGGAUUCUCUUUGACACACAAGACUACAUCACAUGACCUCCAUAGAACGGGAGGAAAAGGAGAAGGUGAAAAAGAGAGAAAAGGUUGGAGGAUGAGGAGACAAUGCAGCAGGCCACCUGGGUGAAGUACACCAUCCCCAUCAAACACCAGGUAAGGCUCUCAUGCCUUACAUCUGCCAGCUAGGAGGUGUGGAAGCAGAAAGGGGAGGAGUACAGGAUGACUGGUUAUGGGGGUUGGAGCUGGGUCAGUAAGACCCAUGUGCCACACUUUCUUCCAAGAUUACCAGGGAAUACAAAUGUCAACUACCGUAAAGAGCUGGAAGCAGCUAAAACAUGCAAGGAAAACCCAGGCAGUCUUGAAGAUUCACUGAACACUGACAAACAAACAGCUCAGGGCACUGUGGACAUCGUCAAGGAGCAAACAUCCUGCACUGUGACAUCUCAGAGCACCUCAUUAGUGGAGGGCCAGACCGGAGGCACGAAUGAAAAAGAAAGGCUCACAGAGAAAGAAAAGGCAAGAAAUGCGGCUGAAAA